CUCUAAAGCGAAGGGAACAAGAUGGAAGUAUCCAAAGAGGAGCAGCGUGCUGUGAUACGAUUUCUGACCGCCGAGGGAGAAAGUGCAGCAGGCAUUUAUCGUCGAAUGCUUACCGUGUAUGGUGAACAAUGUUUGUGUGAAUCUGGUGUACGGAGAUGGGCGGCGCGAUAUCGUGAUGGGCGAAUGUCAUUGAAAGAUGAUCCGCGACCAGGGCAAGCCAAUGGAGCCAUUACGGAUGAGAAUUGUGCGGCGGUAGAGAAUUUGAUCUGCGAGAACAGACGCAUAACAGAAGAUGAGAUAGCCGAUCUUGUAGGCAUCAGUCACGGCAGUGUCCACACCAUUAUUCGUGAAAAGCUUGGGUAUCGGAAAGUCUGCACCCAAUGGGUACCGCGAAAUAUGUUCGUCAAAAACCAGCACAGGCCCCAGGAACACAAGCAAAAAAAAUCACUGACCAAAGCAGGACCCCGCCCACAGCCUUGAUCCCGGGUACACCAGCCUUCCCUCUCAUCAGGCCUGUGAAAUACUGGACCACCCACCCUAUAGGCCAGAUUUAUCACCAUGCGAUUUCCACAUCUUAGGUGGAAUGAAGCAUCUGGAAGGCCAGAAAUCAGACAGCGAUGCAGGAGGUUGUUUACGAGUGGGUUCCCAGCCCAAGGCGUUUCAUGAGCAAGGCAUCCAUCAUCACAUUUCACAGUGGAAAAAGUGCCUUGCCAACUGUGGGGAUUACUAACCAAUUUGCGGCCCCUAUGUUUAAUUUGACUGAAUCACUUUGUAAAAUGUUUUUCAAUGCUUGACAUCAGGGUUAUCAGAAUCUGCCACUGCAGUGUCAAGAGCUUUGGAACUUGUAGCAGGCCAGAGCAAGAUGAGAACAAAUGUUCCAUAUGGACCUAGCUGCAUGUUUCUUCAACACGGAAAAAUCCACAAUGCUGUUUUUACAAUAAAUAUUUGGAUUCAGUAAAGUGCAUAUUAAUGCCAAA